AUGUCCUGGCCUAUGCUUUCUCUACUCCCCUGUGCUCAGUUGUAAGAGGGGAAUCUGACAGGACAUACAGCAGUCUCCCUCUCAGUUUAAGAGGGUUGUCCUGAGUACAGGGCUGGCUCUUAAAGGCAUGAGAGGACAAU